rnacentral:rRNA from 1 species
UACGAAGGGGGCUAGCGUUGCUCGGAAUCACUGGGCGUAAAGCGCACGUAGGCGGCUUUUUAAGUCAGGGGUGAAAUCCUGGAGCUCAACUCCAGAACUGCCUUUGAUACUGGAGAGCUUGAGUCCGGGAGAGGUGAGUGGAACUCCGAGUGUAGAGGUGAAAUUCGUAGAUAUUCGGAAGAACACCAGUGGCGAAGGCGGCUCACUGGCCCGGUACUGACGCUGAGGUGCGAAAGCGUGGGGAGCAAACAGG